rnacentral:rRNA from 1 species
GACGAACGCUGGCGGCGUGCUUAACACAUGCAAGUCGAACGGUGAAGCGCUUGCCUUUUUGGUGGGUGUGGAUGAGUGGCGAACGGGUGAGUAACACGUGAGUAACCUGCCCUCUUCUUCUGGAUAACCUCAUGAAAGUGGGGCUAAUACGGGGUAUUCCGGGUCUGUCGCAUGGCGGGUUUGGGAAAGAUUGCGCCUUUGGGUGUUUUCGGUGGGGGAUGGGCUCGCGGCCUAUCAGCUUGUUGGUGGGGUGAUGGCCUACCAAGGCGGUGACGGGUAGCCGGCCUGAGAGGGUGGACGGCCACACUGGGACUGAGACACGGCCCAGACUCCUGCGGGAGGCAGCAGUGGGGAAUAUUGCACAAUGGGCGCAACCCUGAUGCAGCGACGCCGCGUGAGGGAUGGAGGCCUUCGGGUUGUGAACCUCUUUCGCCAGUGAAGCAGGCCUGCUCCUGUGUGGGUGGGUUGACGGUAGCUGUAUAAGAAGCGCCGGCUAACUACGUG